UGUGUUUAAUUUCACAGAGAGCCAAGAA
rnacentral:piRNA from 1 species